rnacentral:rRNA from 1 species
GAUGAACGCUGGCGGCGUGCCUAAUACAUGCAAGUCGAGCGAACGGACGAGAAGCUUGCUUCUCUGAUGUUAGCGGCGGACGGGUGAGUAACACGUGGAUAACCUACCUAUAAGACUGGGAUAACUUCGGGAAACCGGAGCUAAUACCGGAUAAUAUUUUGAACCGCAUGGUUCAAAAGUGAAAGACGGUCUUGCUGUCACUUAUAGAUGGAUCCGCGCUGCAUUAGCUAGUUGGUAAGGUAACGGCUUACCAAGGCAACGAUGCAUAGCCGACCUGAGGGGGUGAUCGGCCACACUGGAACUGAGACACGGUCCAGACUCCUACGGGAGGCAGCAGUAGGGAAUCUUCCGCAAUGGGCGAAAGCCUGACGGAGCAACGCCGCGUGAGUGAUGAAGGUCUUCGGAUCGUAAAACUCUGUUAUUAGGGAAGAACAUAUGUGUAAGUAACUGUGCACAUCUUGACGGUACCUAAUCAGAAAGCCACGGCUAACUACGUGCCAGCAGCCGCGGUAAUACGUAGGUGGCAAGCGUUAUCCGGAAUUAUUGGGCGUAAAGCGCGCGUAGGCGGUUUUUUAAGUCUGAUGUGAAAGCCCACGGCUCAACCGUGGAGGGUCAUUGGAAACUGGAAAACUUGAGUGCAGAAGAGGAAAGUGGAAUUCCAUGUGUAGCGGUGAAAUGCGCAGAGAUAUGGAGGAACACCAGUGGCGAAGGCGACUUUCUGGUCUGUAACUGACGCUGAUGUGCGAAAGCGUGGGGAUCAAACAGGAUUAGAUACCCUGGUAGUCCACGCCGUAAACGAUGAGUGCUAAGUGUUAGGGGGUUUCCUCCCCUUAGUGCUGCAGCUAACGCAUUAAGCACUCCGCCUGGGGAGUACGACCGCAAGGUUGAAACUCAAAGGAAUUGACGGGGACCCGCACAAGCGGUGGAGCAUGUGGUUUAAUUCGAAGCAACGCGAAGAACCUUACCAAAUCUUGACAUCCUUUGACAACUCUAGAGAUAGAGCCUUCCCCUUCGGGGGACAAAGUGACAGGUGGUGCAUGGUUGUCGUCAGCUCGUGUCGUGAGAUGUUGGGUUAAGUCCCGCAACGAGCGCAACCCUUAAGCUUAGUUGCCAUCAUUAAGUUGGGCACUCUAAGUUGACUGCCGGUGACAAACCGGAGGAAGGUGGGGAUGACGUCAAAUCAUCAUGCCCCUUAUGAUUUGGGCUACACACGUGCUACAAUGGACAAUACAAAGGGCAGCGAAACCGCGAGGUCAAGCAAAUCCCAUAAAGUUGUUCUCAGUUCGGAUUGUAGUCUGCAACUCGACUACAUGAAGCUGGAAUCGCUAGUAAUCGUAGAUCAGCAUGCUACGGUGAAUACGUUCCCGGGUCU